rnacentral:rRNA from 1 species
GUGGGGAAUAUUGGGCAAUGGGCGCAAGCCUGACCCAGCAACGCCGCGUGAAGGAAGAAGGCUUUCGGGUUGUAAACUUCUUUUACCAGGGACGAAACAAAUGACGGUACCUGGUGAAUAAGCCACGGCUAACUACGUGCCAGCAGCCGCGGUAAUACAUAGGUGGCGAGCGUUAUCCGGAUUUAUUGGGUGUAAAGGGCGUGUAGGCGGGACAGCAAGUCAGAUGUGAAAACCAGAGGCUCAACCUCUGGCCUGCAUUUGAAACUGUUGUUCUUGAGUGUCGGAGAGGUAAUCGGAAUUCCGUGUGUAGCGGUGAAAUGCGUAGAUAUACGGAGGAACACCAGUGGCGAAGGCGGAUUACUGGACGAUAACUGACGCUGAGGCGCGAAAGCGUGGGGAGCAAACAGGAUUAGAAACCCCAGUAGUCC